AACGCUAGCUACAGGCUUAACACAUGCAAGUCGAGGGGCAGCAUUAGGUAGCAAUACUGAGAUGGCGACCGGCGCACGGGUGCGUAACGCGUAUCCAACCUUCCCGUUACUCAUGGAUAGCCUUCCGAAAGGGAGAUUAAUACAUGAUGGUGUUGAAAUUCCGCAUGUUAUUUCAACUAAAGAUUUAUCGGUAACGGAUGGGGAUGCGUGACAUUAGAUAGUAGGCGGGGUAACGGCCCACCUAGUCUACGAUGUCUAGGGGUUCUGAGAGGAAGGUCCCCCACACUGGAACUGAGACACGGUCCAGACUCCUACGGGAGGCAGCAGUGAGGAAUAUUGGUCAAUGGCCGGAAGGCUGAACCAGCCAAGUAGCGUGAAGGAUGAAGGUUCUAUGGAUUGUAAACUUCUUUUAUGAGGGAAUAAAACCUCCCACGUGUGGGAGCUUGUAUGUACCUUAUGAAUAAGGACCGGCUAAUUCCGUGCCAGCAGCCGCGGUAAUACGGAAGGUCCGGGCGUUAUCCGGAUUUAUUGGGUUUAAGGGAGCGUAGGCCGGCUCUUAAGCGUGCCGUGAAAUGUCCGGGCUUAACCCGGGCACUGCGGCGCGAACUGGGUGCCUUGAGUGCGCGGAACGUAUGCGGAAUUCGUGGUGUAGCGGUGAAAUGCUUAGAUAUCACGAAGAACUCCGAUUG
rnacentral:rRNA from 1 species